GUUACACAGCAAACUGCCCAAGAACAUGAAGCCGGCCAGAGCAGCCUCAGUCUUUUUGACCUUUCUGCUGCUCCUAAGAACAGCAUCCAGUGGGGAUCCAUCAUCAGACAACAAAGUUAGGCUAUGUGAGUUUUUGAAUCAGCUGAAGCUUCCGAAGGAUGAUAUGAAGACCCUGAAGACCCUCUUGGAAGCCCUGUGUAAAGCCUUCAGUGACUGCAGGGUUCAAGAUGAAAAAAUCCAAAGCACAACAGAGGCGGUCAUCCACACAACUACCAGGCCUGCUGUUGUGACUUCAAG